rnacentral:rRNA from 1 species
AUUCAGUCUGGAUCCGGAGGAGAGCGCCUCGGACCGGGGUCCCCGAGAACUGGGCCCCUCGCGGGGCGCGACAGACUCCGCCCGGACAGACGCACUUGUCUCGCCCCCGAAGGACGCCGCAGCCGGUCGGGCACAGCAAGCGCGGCGGCCAGAAAGGCGGAAGGUGGCAGGUAGCCGGAGAGCCGGUCCCCUCCCUAAAAAGGGGGGGCCGGUUGCCGGUCUUAUUAGCCGUUCCGUCCGUGGCCGCCGCCCGACCGAGGCGUCGCCAGGCCCUCAGCGGGCCGAGCCGCCUCCCCCCAACUCAGAAAGGGAGCCGGGGCAGAGGGAGCGCGGAGGGAGCACGCCGGUCGUCGCACCCCGAUGGGGGUGGACGUCCCCGGCGGGAAGCUGCCUCGUCUGCGACCACGCACCCGCGGGAGGCCGCAGGCUAGCGGCGAAGUAGGUCGGUCACCCACCCGACCCGUCUUGAAACACGGACCAAGGAGUCUAACAUGUGCGCGAGUCAGUGGGACUUGAACAGGCCCACAGGCGCAAUGAAAGCAAAGGCGGACCCUCCGGGGCCCGCCGAGUUGGGAUCCCCGUCCCUCAAAAAGGCGGGGCGCACCAACGACCCGUCCCGUCCGGUCCGCCGGCGGGGCGGAGUGUGAGCGUACACGUUGGGACCCGAAAGAUGGUGAACUAUGCCCGAACAGGACGAGGCCAGAGGAAACUCUGGUGGAGGUC